rnacentral:sRNA from 1 species
AUUUCUUGUAAAGUGGUAAUGCAAACAUCGCAUUAAUGAUUGAAAAAUACAUCUCCGUUCCCGGAAGAAAGAGAAUGAGACAAAAACGACAGCGCGAAUAUGGUCAUAAAGUCACAACGUUUUUAAAACCGGAAAAAAAAAUUGAUAAACAACGAGUCAUCAUGUUAAAAAAACCAGGUGGAAAACGGAGUCCUUUUCGUCGCACUAAACGUUAAGGGCCGAGGCAACAACUUGAGAGAGAAAGGUGGUGGAAGCGAUACCAGUGACAGCAGGUUACCUCAACUUGAUUGUGCAACUGAAGCACCAUCUGCGCACAAGACUCGGAGAUAUCUGAAAUUCGCUCCGGCAACUUCGCCGCCGGUCCGGUCGUACAGUCUCCAGCAAUUCUCGAAAAAUGCCAGAAUCUUCUGCCUGCAACAGUCCACAUCCACACAAAGUUAGUUCAAACUCUAAGCCAGUUGAAUCGGCAAGAAGUAGAACAAGUUAAACAGAAUUUCAUAAUAUAAUUUCAGUGUUCUUCUCAAAUCAGCGUGUGAAAUUCCAGUAUUCAUACAAAACGACUACAGAAAUGAAACUUCAAUUCCAUUAAAAGUACAGCAUCAUAAGCAUGUGAAUAAAAACAUCUAAGUUUUGUUGUGAGAAUUAAUUCUUUAAUUUUGCGAUUGUUCAAUACGAUUCAAAGGAAUUGAGAUUCAUCGAGAGAGUUCAGACAAAAAUAGGUACCGGUUUUUUGAGCAGAGUAAACGGCAAGGAGCGUGAUGGAGUCGCUGGAGUGAACGACAUGAGUGAGAGCCCAGGCUAAUGCGGUGUUGGAGAUCACCUUCUCCGCCUUGACGGCGACGAGAACCUUGUUGGAGACGGUGGCGGAGGCGGCGGUGUGCCUGGCACUUCUGGAACCCACCGUUUCCUCUCUUAGCAUUGGUGGAAGAUGGAUGAGCGAAGGUUUGGGUUUGGAUCGGGUGCUGCGUCGCCUCGUCUGGUCCUCACGUAUGCAUUGCGUUGCGUGUAGUGUGUGUGAUUGAGUGACCUUGAUCAUUGCAUUAUUUUGCGGACUUAACUUGAAGCCCAUGUCUCCCCAACUGGCAUGUCCCAACCCUGGUUCGGUUAAUCUAACCAGAGUUACGAGAACUGGGUAGUUGUUUGUUAGUUGUUACUUGAGCGGGGCCUGGUGGUGAGGCUGGUCGUGUUCUGUCUGUGUCUCUGAAGUGGCACAAAGGAAAUUUGCCAUCGCAUAAAUAAAGGUCAAAAAAUCAUUCCCUUACAUGUUGAAUACAAAAGCAUGUAAUUACAAUUAUUACUUUUACAUAUCAAGUAUUUUUUUCAUUAGAAUAUAUUUA